rnacentral:rRNA from 1 species
UUAAGUUAUUAAGGGCGCACGGUGGAUGCCUUGGCACUAGAAGCCGAUGAAGGACGUUACUAACGACGAUAUGCUUUGGGGAGCUGUAAGUAAGCUUUGAUCCAGAGAUUUCCGAAUGGGGAAACCCAGCAUGAGUUAUGUCAUGUUAUCGAUAUGUGAAUACAUAGCAUAUCAGAAGGCACACCCGGAGAACUGAAACAUCUUAGUACCCGGAGGAAGAGAAAGAAAAUUCGAUUCCCUUAGUAGCGGCGAGCGAAACGGGAAGAGCCCAAACCAAAAAGCUUGCUUGUUGGGGUUGUAGGACACUCUAUACGGAGUUACAAAGGACGACAUUAGACGAAUCAUCUGGAAAGAUGAAUCAAAGAAGGUAAUAAUCCUGUAGUCGAAAAUGUUGUCUCUCUUGAGUGGAUCCUGAGUACGACGGAGCACGUGAAAUUCCGUCGGAAUCUGGGAGGACCAUCUCCUAAGGCUAAAUACUCUCUAGUGACCGAUAGUGAACCAGUACCGUGAGGGAAAGGUGAAAAGCACCCCGGAAGGGGAGUGAAAUAGAACCUGAAACCGUGUGCUUACAAGUAGUCAGAGCCCGUUAAUGGGUGAUGGCGUGCCUUUUGUAGAAUGAACCGGCGAGUUACGAUUUGAUGCAAGGUUAAGCAGUAAAUGUGGAGCCGUAGCGAAAGCGAGUCUGAAUAGGGCGUUUAGUAUUUGGUCGUAGACCCGAAACCAGGUGAUCUACCCUUGGUCAGGUUGAAGUUCAGGUAACACUGAAUGGAGGACCGAACCGACUUACGUUGAAAAGUGAGCGGAUGAACUGAGGGUAGCGGAGAAAUUCCAAUCGAACCUGGAGAUAGCUGGUUCUCUCCGAAAUAGCUUUAGGGCUAGCCUCAAGUGAUGAUUAUUGGAGGUAGAGCACUGUUUGGACGAGGGGCCCCUCUCGGGUUACCGAAUUCAGACAAACUCCGAAUGCCAAUUAAUUUAACUUGGGAGUCAGAACAUGGGUGAUAAGGUCCGUGUUCGAAAGGGAAACAGCCCAGACCACCAGCUAAGGUCCCAAAAUAUAUGUUAAGUGGAAAAGGAUGUGGCGUUGCCCAGACAACUAGGAUGUUGGCUUAGAAGCAGCCAUCAUUUAAAGAGUGCGUAAUAGCUCACUAGUCGAGUGACACUGCGCCGAAAAUGUACCGGGGCUAAACAUAUUACCGAAGCUGUGGAUUGUCCUUUGGACAAUGGUAGGAGAGCGUUCUAAGGGCGUUGAAGCAUGAUCGUAAGGACAUGUGGAGCGCUUAGAAGUGAGAAUGCCGGUGUGAGUAGCGAAAGACGGGUGAGAAUCCCGUCCACCGAUUGACUAAGGUUUCCAGAGGAAGGCUCGUCCGCUCUGGGUUAGUCGGGUCCUAAGCUGAGGCCGACAGGCGUAGGCGAUGGAUAACAGGUUGAUAUUCCUGUACCACCUAUAAUCGUUUUAAUCGAUGGGGGGACGCAGUAGGAUAGGCGAAGCGUGCGAUUGGAUUGCACGUCUAAGCAGUAAGGCUGAGUAUUAGGCAAAUCCGGUACUCGUUAAGGCUGAGCUGUGAUGGGGAGAAGACAUUGAGUCUUCGAGUCGUUGAUUUCACACUGCCGAGAAAAGCCUCUAGAUAGAAAAUAGGUGCCCGUACCGCAAACCGACACAGGUAGUCAAGAUGAGAAUUCUAAGGUGAGCGAGCGAACUCUCGUUAAGGAACUCGGCAAAAUGACCCCGUAACUUCGGGAGAAGGGGUGCUCUUUAGGGUUAACGCCCAGAAGAGCCGCAGUGAAUAGGCCCAAGCGACUGUUUAUCAAAAACACAGGUCUCUGCUAAACCGUAAGGUGAUGUAUAGGGGCUGACGCCUGCCCGGUGCUGGAAGGUUAAGAGGAGUGGUUAGCUUCUGCGAAGCUACGAAUCGAAGCCCCAGUAAACGGCGGCCGUAACUAUAACGGUCCUAAGGUAGCGAAAUUCCUUGUCGGGUAAGUUCCGACCCGCACGAAAGGCGUAACGAUUUGGGCACUGUCUCAACGAGAGACUCGGUGAAAUCAUAGUACCUGUGAAGAUGCAGGUUACCCGCGACAGGACGGAAAGACCCCGUGGAGCUUUACUGUAGCCUGAUAUUGAAAUUCGGCACAGCUUGUACAGGAUAGGUAGGAGCCUUUGAAACGUGAGCGCUAGCUUACGUGGAGGCGCUGGUGGGAUACUACCCUAGCUGUGUUGGCUUUCUAACCCGCACCACUUAUCGUGGUGGGAGACAGUGUCAAGCGGGCAGUUUGACUGGGGCGGUCGCCUCCUAAAAGGUAACGGAGGCGCUCAAAGGUUCCCUCAGAAUGGUUGGAAAUCAUUCAUAGAGUGUAAAGGCAUAAGGGAGCUUGACUGCGAGACCUACAAGUCGAGCAGGGUCGAAAGACGGACUUAGUGAUCCGGUGGUUCCGCAUGGAAGGGCCAUCGCUCAACGGAUAAAAGCUACCCCGGGGAUAACAGGCUUAUCUCCCCCAAGAGUUCACAUCGACGGGGAGGUUUGGCACCUCGAUGUCGGCUCAUCGCAUCCUGGGGCUGUAGUCGGUCCCAAGGGUUGGGCUGUUCGCCCAUUAAAGCGGUACGCGAGCUGGGUUCAGAACGUCGUGAGACAGUUCGGUCCCUAUCCGUCGUGGGCGUAGGAAAUUUGAGAGGAGCUGUCCUUAGUACGAGAGGACCGGGAUGGACAUACCUCUGGUGUACCAGUUGUCGUGCCAACGGCAUAGCUGGGUAGCUAUGUGUGGACGGGAUAAGUGCUGAAAGCAUCUAAGCAUGAAGCCCCCCUCAAGAUGAGAUUUCCCAACUUCGGUUAUAAGAUCCCUCAAAGAUGAUGAGGUUAAUAGGUUCGAGGUGGAAGCAUGG